rnacentral:rRNA from 1 species
GAGGAGCCCAGAGCCUGAAUCAGUGUGUGUGUUAGUGGAAGCGUCUGGAAAGGCGUGCGAUACAGGGUGACAGCCCCGUACACAAAAAUGCACAUAUUGUGAGCUCGAUGAGUAGGGCGGGACACGUGGUAUCCUGUCUGAAUAUGGGGGGACCAUCCUCCAAGGCUAAAUACUCCUGACUGACCGAUAGUGAACCAGUACCGUGAGGGAAAGGCGAAAAGAACCCCGGCGAGGGGAGUGAAAAAGAACCUGAAACCGUGUACGUACAAGCAGUGGGAGCCUCUUAAUGGGGUGACUGCGUACCUUUUGUAUAAUGGGUCAGCGACUUAUAUUCUGUAGCAAGGUUAACCGAAUAGGGGAGCCGAAGGGAAACCGAGUCUUAACUGGGCGUUAAGUUGCAGGGUAUAGACCCGAAACCCGGUGAUCUAGCCAUGGGCAGGUUGAAGGUUGGGUAACACUAACUGGAGGACCGAACCGACUAAUGUUGAAAAAUUAGCGGAUGACUUGUGGCUGGGGGUGAAAGGCCAAUCAAACCGGGAGAUAGCUGGUUCUCCCCGAAAGCUAUUUAGGUAGCGCCUCGUGAAUUCAUCUCCGGGGGUAGAGCACUGUUUCGGCAAGGGGGUCAUCCCGACUUACCAACCCGAUGCAAACUGCGAAUACCGGAGAAUGUUAUCACGGGAGACACACGGCGGGUGCUAACGUCCGUCGUGAAGAGGGAAACAACCCAGACCGCCAGCUAAGGUCCCAAAGUCAUGGUUAAGUGGGAAACGAUGUGGGAAGGCCCAGACAGCCAGGAUGUUGGCUUAGAAGCAGCCAUCAUUUAAAGAAAGCGUAAUAGCUCACUGGUCGAGUCGGCCUGCGCGGAAGAUGUAACGGGGCUAAACCAUGCACCGAAGCUGCGGCAGCGACACUAUGUGUUGUUGGGUAGGGGAGCGUUCUGUAAGCCUGUGAAGGUGGCCUGUGAGGGUUGCUGGAGGUAUCAGAAGUGCGAAUGCUGACAUAAGUAACGAUAAAGCGGGUGAAAAGCCCGCUCGCCGGAAGACCAAGGGUUCCUGUCCAACGUUAAUCGGGGCAGGGUGAGUCGACCCCUAAGGCGAGGCCGAAAGGCGUAGUCGAUGGGAAACAGGUUAAUAUUCCUGUACUUGGUGUUACUGCGAAGGGGGGACGGAGAAGGCUAUGUUGGCCGGGCGACGGUUGUCCCGGUUUAAGCGUGUAGGCUGGUUUUCCAGGCAAAUCCGGAAAACCAAGGCUGAGGCGUGAUGA